rnacentral:misc_RNA from 1 species
GAAUAACGUGUUUGUCUUCGCUUCGGCAAGGCAUUCACACCCCUCACAUCCAUAACACCUGUGAACUGUAAGAUGCGGCGAUUCGUUGCCCAUCUGCCCUUUUUUUAUAAACAUCAGUAGUAACAAAAGUAGUCUUAUUAUAAUCUAAUAAAACUUUCAACAACGGAUCUCUUGGCUCU